rnacentral:rRNA from 1 species
AGAGUUUGAUCAUGGCUCAGAUUGAACGCUGGCGGCAGGCCUAACACAUGCAAGUCGAACGGUA